UACGUAGGCAGCGAGCGUUGUUCGGAGUUACUGGGCGUAAAGGGGGUGUAGGCGGUUGUUUAAGUUUGGGGUGAAAUCUCCCGGCUCAACUGGGAGGGUGCGCCGAAUACUGAAUGACUUCGAGUGCGGGAGAGGAGAGUGGAAUUCCUGGUGUAGCGGUGAAAUGCGUAGAUAUCAGGAGGAACACCGGUGGUGUAGACGGCUCUCUGGACCGUAACUGACGCUGAGACACGAAAGCGUGGGUAGCAAACAGG
rnacentral:rRNA from 1 species